AGGGGUGGGGGGUCUCGCGCUUUGGGAAACAUGGACCAUCAGGAGCAGCGAGGCUGCAACGUAGCCCAGGGUGUCCCGAAGCUGGCCCAAACGUGGCCCAUCAGCGUCAUCGGGGCUCUUACAGGCUCCCGAGCCCCUGUCGGUGGCCGAGGAGGGGGGUGGGGGAGGGGCUUGGAAAGAGCACAGACUUGGGUUAUGAUUGCACGGAGGUCCGCCCAUGCAUAUUUUUGGGGGUGGUUUUGGCUUCUUGGCUACUUUUCUAGAGCAGUUUUAGCAAACGUGAGAGGAUCCUCCAGAGAUUUCACACACAUACCUGCCCUUACUGAGGCACAGCCUCUCCCCUGAGCAGGUAUCCGAACCCCCCAUCAGGGCGAGGCCUUUGUCACAGCCCCAAACCUGUGCUGAUGUGUGUCCAUCGCCCAAGGUCCGCAGCUGAGAUCGGGUUGGCCUCUGACGUUGUACCCCAGUGCGUCCGGGCGGGUGCGUGUUGAGGAGUCUCUGCCGGUGCAGCGUCCCACCGGGUAGUGUUUCUUCCCUGACGCAGUAGGUUCCGUUGGUGCUGGCGCCACAGCGCAUUUGCCAGGCGGAGAGGUGGGCGGGAGGCCGGCGGCUCUUGCCGGCGGUAGGAGCCCGCAUGCGCUGUGGAGGGCGAGGGCGGUGCUCUUCUGAGCAUCCGGCUUCUCCCUUGCUAGAAGUCUUCCACCUACGAGGAUGUCGCCCUGGGGCCCCUGUUUCUCCGAAGACCGUCCCGAUCGAGGCAGCGAACACAUUCUUGGAACCACCACCUGGAUGAAGAAAUGGAACCUUACCGUGCUUCCUACCUCCUACUGACUCCCACCGAACGUCCCCCAAAGAGAGCAUGCAUGGGAAGGGGAAGGAGAGGGGGGAAAGCGAGUGGAUCCCAAGCUGACUCCGCACUGUCAUCACAGAGUCUGAUGCGAGGCUUGAACUCAUGAACCGUGAGAUCAUGGCCUGAGCUGAAAUCAAGAGUCAGACGCUUCACCGACCAGAAGCCACUCAGGUGCCCCAAAGA